rnacentral:lncRNA from 1 species
UCGCCAUUCCAAUAGCACCUUUCGAUCUUUAAAAGCUACUUUAAAACUCCUUGUAUCCUCAAAAGAGUAAUAGUAUGUCUUAAAUUAACACAGAAACUUCAAUUAGCUACAACUUCAUCACUCUAACUCCAAAUCCUCUAAUUUUUACACACAAAUUAUACCCCAAAUCCAAUAAUUUUCAAUCCUAGCUUGUAAUCUCCGAAUGCCCUCUUUAAAAUUACCGAAAUCCUUGUUAAGGUCACCAGCAGCCUCCUCAAAGCCCAUUGGGCAUGGUAUUCCACCAAUAGGGAUGAAGUUUCCCAUUUCUUACCUUCAUC